GGGCUUACACAAGCGGUGGAGCAUGUGGUUUAAUUCGAAACAACGCGCAGAACCUUACCAAUCCUUGCAAUAUACAGGAAGCAACUGUUAUAAGUUGUCUUUUGGUAUACAGGCGCUGCAUGGCUGUCGUCAGUUCGUGGCGUGAGCUGUUGGGUUAAGUCCUAGAACGAACGCAACCCUCUUAGCAUGUGCAUUUUUAAUGCCUUGUUAAACUGCCAGUGACAUACGGGGAGGAAGGAGAGGAUGACGUCAAGUCCGCAUGGCCCUUAUGGGUUGGGCUACACACGUGCUACAAUGGCGAACACAAAGGGAUGCAAGAUGGCAACAUGGAGCAAAUCCUCAACUUUCGUCGUAGUUCGGAUUGUUCUCUGCAACUCGAGAACAUGAAGUUGGAAUC
rnacentral:rRNA from 1 species